rnacentral:misc_RNA from 1 species
AACGGAGGGGGCAAGUGUUUAUUCACAGUUACUGGGCGUUAAAGGGUCUGUAGGCGGCUAAAUUUAAUUCUAUGCGAAAACGCUUGGGUAGCCCCUGGGAACUGUCUAUAGAAAUAUUAUUUAGCUAGAGUGUGGAGCAGGAUAGUGGUACUCUCGAUGUAGAGGUGAAAUCGACGAUAUCGAUGGGGACCACCAUUUGGCGAAAGCGACUAUCUUAGCCCAUUUACUGACGCUGAGGGACGAAGGCAUGGGGAGCGAACAGG